GGAGCGGAAAGUACCUGGCUCGCCUCCGCUUCCCUCCUGCGGUCACGGCCUUCGUCAGGCGCCACGUGCAGGCCAAGCGGUUCCUCGUGGCCACUGACGCCGGCUACUAUUGAGACCCUCACGGAAGCGAGCAGGAUGACCUCGAGCAUCAAGGAGGACCGAUGACGGAGGAGGAGGCCAGGUCUUUCGCUCAGGACCCGCAGUUCGACGCCAUUUUGAGGAUGAGGAGGUGGACGAGAAAGCCAAGGACCCGAGGCAGUCACGCCGCCCUUGGAGCACUAUAAAACAUGUGUUUGGGGGUUCCUGCGCGGGAGAGCGAGCGGCGGCGAGCUAGGCGGGAAAAAAGAUUUGAAACGCUCGGGCUACGGGUGGAACAAGAGGGUCCGUUUUCUGUUUCUUCUUGUUUUCCUUUUCCUUGUUUCAAAAUUCGUUUUUUUUUUUUUUUUUUUUUUUAUUUUUUUGUUCUCUUGUGGUCUGGUGAAAGUACAUGGAUGGAAACAGUUUAUUAAAAUGUUCGGAUGAA